UGGCUGUAAAGAGCGGGUCUGGU
rnacentral:piRNA from 1 species